GGGGGGGGGGGGGGGGGGGGUGGGGGGGGGCGGGGCGGGCGGGGGGGCCUGCUUGCCCUGGUGGGUGGCGGGUACUCGAGUGGCGAACGGGGGAGUAACACGUGAGUGAGCUGCCCCCAACUUGGGUAUAAGCCUGGGAAACUGGGGCUAAUUCCCGAUAGGACUGCAGGGUGGUGCCUGUGGUGGCAAACGAUUUUCUGGUGGUUGGGGAUGAGCUCGCGGCCUAUCAGCUUGUUGGUGGGGUAAUGGCCUACCAAGGCGGCGACGGGUAGCCGGCCUGAGAGGGUGGACGGCCACAUUGGGACUGAGAUACGGCCCAGACUCCUACGGGAGGCAGCAGGGGGGAAUAUUGCACAAUGGGCGGAAGCCUGAUGCAGCGACGCCGCGUGGGGGAUGACGGCCUUCGGGUUGUAAACUCCUUUCGACCGCGAGGAAGCCACCUGGUUGGAAGGGUGGUGACGGUAGUGGUAGAAGAAGCACCGGCUAACUACGUG
rnacentral:rRNA from 1 species